rnacentral:rRNA from 1 species
CGUCGUCAGGACGAACGCUGGCGGCACGCUUAACACAUGCAAGUCGAACGGAGUUAAAGAAGCUUGCUUUUUAACUUAGUGGCGGACGGGUGAGUAACACGUGAGCAACCUGCCUUACAGAGAGGAAUAAUGAUUGGAAACGAUCACUAAUACCUCAUAACAUAUUUUUUACUGCAUGGUAGAGAUAUCAAAGAUUUAUCGCUGUAAGAUGGGCUCGCGUCCGAUUAGAUAGUUGGUGAGGUAACGGCUCACCAAGUCGACGAUCGGUAGCCGUACUGAGAGGUAGAACGGCCACAUUGGGACUGAGACACGGCCCAGACUCCUACGGGAGGCAGCAGUGGGGAAUAUUGCACAAUGGAGGGAACUUCCUGAUGCAGCGAUGCCGCGUGAGGGAAGAAGGUUUUCGGAUUGUAAACCUCUGUCUUAAGGGACGAUAAUGACGGUACCUUAGGAGGAAGCUCCGGCUAACUACGUGCCAGCCGCGGC